rnacentral:rRNA from 1 species
AGUGAACGCUGGCGGUAGGCCUAACACAUGCAAGUCGAACGGCAGCACAGUAAGAGCUUGCUCUUACGGGUGGCGAGUGGCGGACGGGUGAGGAAUACAUCGGAAUCUACUUUUUCGUGGGGGAUAACGUAGGGAAACUUACGCUAAUACCGCAUACGACAUACGGGUGAAAGCAGGGGAUCUUCGGACCUUGCGCGAUUGAAUGAGCCGAUGUCGGAUUAGCUAGUUGGCGGGGUAAAGGCCCACCAAGGCGACGAUCCGUAGCUGGUCUGAGAGGAUGAUCAGCCACACUGGAACUGAGACACGGUCCAGACUCCUACGGGAGGCAGCAGUGGGGAAUAUUGGACAAUGGGCGAAAGCCUGAUCCAGCCAUGCCGCGUGGGUGAUGAAGGCCUUCGGGUUGUAAAGCGCUUUUGUUGGGAAAGAAAAGCCGCAUGUUAAUACCGAGCUGUUCUGACGGUACCGAAAGAAUAAGCACCGGCUAACUACGUG